rnacentral:rRNA from 1 species
GAAUGUUGGACAAUGGGCGAAAGCCUGAUCCAGCAAUGCCGCGUGCAGGAUGAAGGACUUCGGGUUGUAAACUACUUUUGUACGGAACGAAAAGCUUUGGGGUAAUACCAUGGAGUCAUGACGGUACCGUAAGAAUAAGCAACGGCUAACGACGUGCCAGCAGCCGCGGUAAUACGUAGGGUGCAAGCGUUAAUCGGAAUUACUGGGCGUACAGCGUGCGCAGGCGGUUUUGUAAGCCAGAGGUGAAACCCCCGGGCUCAACCUGGGAACUGCCUUUGUGACUGCAAGGCUGGAGUACGGCAGAGGGGGGUGGAAUUCCGCGUGUAGCAGUGAAAUGCGUAGAUAUGCGGAGGACCACCGAUGGCGAAGGCAACCCCCUGGGCCUGUACUGACGCUCAUGCACGAAAGCGUGGGGAGCAAAC